ACGGCCGGUGGCUAUGGCGUGGGGGAUCACCCGAUCCCAUCCCGAACUCGGAAGUUAAGCCCCACUCGCGCGGAUGGUACUGCCGGGGCCACCCGGUGGGAGAGUACGGCGCUGCCGGCCUA
rnacentral:rRNA from 1 species